GCUUUUUCUUCACCUUUUCUUUUGCAGAUGAGGCCUUCAGGGACUUUCUUGCCACCUUACCCUGAGGAAGACACAGAUGAGGAUGUGAUACUAGGAAUAAGGGCUCUUCGUAAGCCCUUCCAGUCUGAGAAUGUGGCCCUUUUUGCCUCCCUCAGACUCAGAAGCCAAGACCCAUGCAACAUGCCCCCCACCUCUCAGACAACUGUCAGUUGUGGAAAAUUGACAAUGGUCUUUUAAGGAAGCAUAGCUAGCUCCUCCAAGGCUAAUUUCAGCAGUGUAGGCUUAGCCAGCCUUCUUAAGGUUUCAGAUGGCUUCUCCAUUGGGAGCUUUCCAUGGUCCUGAUUUAAGUAGGCCCCACCCAUCUCUUCUUUAAAGAGAGGUUACUUACAGCAACAUCAUUGGUUGUUUUUUUUUAAAAAGUAUGUUUUUAUUGAUUUUUCAGGUAACACCACUAUGGAAGGAAGGAUACAGGAGGAACACAGGUACCCAUCUGAAAAAAUAUAUUAAAAAAAUAAAAAAUUGUCCAGUCGCACCUUAGAAACCAACUAAGCUUGUUCUUGGUAUAAGCUUUCGUGUGCAUGCACACUUCUUCAGAUAUCUGAAGAAGUAUCUGAAGAAGUGUGCAUGCACAUGAAAGCUUAUACCAAGAACAAACUUAGUUGGUCUCUAAGGUAUCUAAGGUAUAUUAUUUUAUAUAUUUUGACUGUAUCAGACCAACACGGUUAACUUCCUGAAUCUGCAAUCCAAAAACAGCUCAACAAACCACCAUGCCAAAAUAUUAUUGACCAUGGGUACCAAGAGCAUGGGAUAGACUUCUCACCCUUACUUAACUGUGAGCUUUUGGUGCAGGUUUUAGCAUUUUGAAAAUGCAGUAUUGAAAACUGCACAUUGAUGGUGCUAAUAGAUGCCCCUUCCAACUCUACAAUUCUAUGAUUCCAAGAAAAAAUAAUAAUAGUUGUGUAGGGAAGAAAUUCCACCACUUAGGGGCUGCCAUUUCAACGAUUUUAGUGAGUGACUGAGGCUGUGUGAUGGGAAAGAAAACGUGCCUCUAGCAUAAACAACACCUCCAAGACUAACCUUCAAGGUGCACAAGACUCCUUUGUUGUUCCUGCUACAACAGAGUAACAAGGCUAUCCCUCUCCAAACUGCAUAUUGGUUACCAGACUGAGCUGCGAACCAGGAGGUUAGAUUGGUCUCAACUAGGGCCAGGGCCUGGUGGAACACUCUGUCACAAGAGACCAGGGCCCUGUGGGAUUUGACAUCUUUCAUCAGGGCCUGCAAGAUGGAGCUGUUCCGCCUGGCCUUCGGCUUAGACUCACUCUGACCCCUUUUAUGGGAUUUGGCAUAUAAAUUUUCCCUUGGCUUUUUUGCUGGCCCAUGUAGGACCAGCAUGGAUAGCUGGUUUGGGUGAAUAUCUGAUGCUUCCUCCCUUUAUGGUUUUGAUUUAUGGGCUGCUACUAAAAUGAGGCUGCAUUUUAAGCUGUAUUUUAAGCCGUAUUUUAAUUAACUGCUUCCCCCCUUAUUAUGUUUUAUUGUAAUUUAUAUUCGGUGUAAGCCGCCCUGAGUCCAGCCCUGGCCGGGGAGAGUGGGGUAUAAAUAAAAUUUAUUAUUAUUAAACCUGAGUAUGGCCUGUAACUUCCCUCUUAUAAGUGCAGAAAUUGUGAUUUAAGAGAUCUUAUUUUAGGGGUGCGGCCUAUAUUUGGGGGCUGCUUAUAUUUGGACCAAUAUGGUAUUUGUCCUGGCAGUUAGAAGAGGCUUUUGAAUGCCCAAUGUUGUGGGCACAGAGGGUGUGCAUGGAAAUAUUGUAUUUAUACCUUGUUUAUGAGCCUCCCGGGGCACCAGUCUAGCCUCUGAGACAGGAGAGUAGGCUAGAGCCACCCUUGAUUUCAUCUAGAAAGGUUCCUCUCAUAUUCUUUUCCUGCAGCCUGAGUCCUCUGCCUCCAACAUAGGGAUAACAAUACAUGUCUAGCUUAUUGGAGUGUUUGUAAGGAUUGCCAUGAAACAUUUGGGAACUCUUACCUGAUGAAUUGAAGCUCAGCUCACCUAAAUCUCUCUUUGGAUUUUCCAGGCAUUCAAUAAGAUCUGAUUCAGCAGGUAAGAUUGGAUUUUGGCAAGCUAUAGCUGUGGAACAACAAGAAAAGGUCUCAGACGCAUGGGAAGUAAUCAUUACACAAUAUAGUCAAAAUAUGGUUCAAGUGAAAGUACGAUGAGCCUGUGAACUGUCCAAACCUGUAUAUAAAUGCUAAAUAUUUCUCUCUCUCUCUCAAUUCUGAAUGGCCAAACAGCAAUACUGCAAAAGGCUCCUCCACUGAGCUGUGCAUUUGCUGUUAUCCUCGCAGCAACACAACCCGAAAUGAUCAGUAGAAACACAACAAGCCCCUUCAUGCUCAUUUGUGCUCAGUAUUCAUGUCAUUAUUAAAAGGUGCAGCGAGGGCAAGUUUCAAACCAUGAAAAUGAUGAGCCUGGAGCAGAAACUACUGAGCGCAGAGAACAUUCCCACUAUAUUUCCAUUUUUCCUUCUGCAGGCAUCUCCUUGCGACUCGUUUGUAGCUCACCUGAGCCUGACAUUUGCCAAGGAAGAUGCAGCGUCUGUUUAUAGCACCUGGAGUGGGAAGUUUGCAUUCCGCAAUCAGGCCCGCUGCUUGAUGGCUAUUCUUAAAGCGGUUAUUCUUCACUCUGUCUGUAUGUGUGAGGAAUGCACAACUAUAUGCCCAAAGUCUCAAGAGAUGUCAAGAGUACCUCGGUGGAAAAAUGUUUUCGAAUAGCUUCCCUUGUACAGAACGUUUGUGUGUGUAUUCAUUUGAGAAAAAAAUUAUACUGCAAUGGCAUAAAAAGCAAUAAAACAUAAAAUAAUAAACCAAAAAACCAAAACAAAAAAUAGGUAUCAAUUUGUCAGUUUGCAUUUCUUAGUGCAGAAAGUAUUGAUCUGAUGUGUAGAGAUCUUUCCUAUUCUACUUAAUUCAAGAGGGUUGUGGAAGCUUCAGGAAGCUUCUCUGUGUGAAAGAAACAAGCAGAAGGUUCAUGAUAUUUGGGUUAUUCCUUCAGAGAAGCUGAGUACAGCUGGCUUAAACUGGUUCUGCUAUCUCUUUCUGUCAAGGUCGUGCUGACUAUAAGUUUCUCUUUCUAUCUCUUUUCCUUCU